ensembl:lncRNA
UGUGAACCCUGUGUGUUAGCUAGGGAUGGGCCUCGGGUUAUUCAGUAUCCCAACAGACAUUAAUAUUACAAAACAACGACAACUCGCAGGUAGGGACGUGUGUGAACCCUGUGUGUUAGCUAGGGAUGGGCCUCGGGUUAUUCAGUAUCCCAACAGACAUUAAUAUUACAAUACAACGACAACUCACAGUCUGCAGAGGACCUGUUUGACUACGGGUCGUUAGGUCAGGUGGGUUCUGAGGCGGCGAUGCAGGCAGCUGACCUCUUGAUGGGAGACUUCAGGAUGAUUUCCUGUCAGGACAUCAAAUGGAGCCUCAACGCCAUGAAGGGGCACUACGCAAUCACACGCAAGGCCUCACUCGGCGUCUCUCUCUCUCUGUGUGUUUCAGGCCUCACUCGGCGUCUCUCUCUCUCUGUGUGUUUCAGGCCUCACUCGGCGUCUCUCUCUCUGUGUGUUUCAGGCCUCACUCGGCGUCUCUCUCUCUGUGUGUU